AUUUCACCAUGUUGGCCCGGCUGGUGUUGAACUCCUGACCUCAGGUGAUCCACCCACCUCAGCUUCUCAAAGUGCUGGGAUUACAAGCGUGAGCCACAGCACCCGGCCCAGCAUUGUUCUUUAGUUUAUUCCCUCUUCUAUUCCCUUGAGACUUUCCCAUUGGUUUGAAAAGAAUUAUGAUUUAGCCACAUAAACUAAUAAAAAGAGAGCAAGAAUAUUUUUGUAAAUUUGUAAUCCUGGGGCAAUAUCAAUAGAAUUUUUUUUAUAAAAUGAAUGAUUUCACUACUCCAGAAGUGGAAUGUAAACUCUAUACAUAACCAGAACAUGGAAUUAACAGGACUCAUGGGUGUAUCCAUAAAAGCAACUGAAUUUUUAGUCUUCUGCUGUUAAUAAUCUGUUCCAUGAGGAUAGUUCUUCCUCUUCCACAGAAUGAAACUCAGGCAGUCCUAUAACUUUUUUAUUCUCUCAGGUAAUAGAAAAUCCUGUUACUUUAAGAGGAAAAACCCUGCUCUUAAUUCAGUAAUUCAAAUCUUGUCCCCUUCCCCAACAGGGUCUCCUAUGGACAGAAGUGCGGGCAAGGAGCUUUGUUCCUCCCCGAUGUCACCCUCCCACAGCCCACUUGCUAGCAGGCAAGAGAGGGGUGGAGGCCGGCAGUAAGGCAUGUACUGAACUGGACCUCUGGUGGAAUGGGUCACCCACGCUGGGCUUGGUGGGUAUUUGAAAGUGACUCUUUCGUGAACACUGUUGUGAGCCCUCACUGGGAAUGUCUGGCCAUGCUUCCUGACGCUGGCAAUGAAUUUUCUCUAGCUGCUUAUUCUACCCCAACCUUGGUCUUCCUUCUGUCCCCUCCAUGCAGACUCUUACCAUCAGGGUCCUGCCAACCCUUCAGUGAGACUUUUUCCGAAGAAUCCCUUUUAAAAUGACCUCAAGCUGACCUUCCUGAUGCAGAUUCCACAUAUGGUAUCUGAGACUCACACAGUGUGGUUGGAAGAUAGCACAGUGACCUCCCAGGCACAGCCCUCUGCCAGCCCUCCACUGGCUGCCCUAGGAUGCUGGCCUUCCUCCGAUGGGAGUCGGGCCCAGUCUGCUGUGAGCCAGGAGAAGCCAGCAAGCUCCCUGCGAGGCCUGGAGGAGCCCUUCUCACUCAGCUUGGUGUUCGAUGCCAGUGCCCCCGCCCAUUGUGGGGUGAGGGUGGGACUCUCAGCACAGCCCUGUCCAAAUAAAUCCUCUAAAGCCCUCUUCCAUCUGCAGUCACUUGAGUCUUUUGUAGCCUGUGUGAUUGAGCAUCUAAGCAGUCCUCAGCUAUUUACUUUGAAAUUUCGUAAGUGAUUUUGGUAUCUGUCAUUUCUUGAUGCAUCAGUCACAACUCCCCAUCUAACAUCCCAUUAAAUAAUAUAUAAAACAGAACAAAAACAUUGUGCCAACUUCUUCUAAGAAGAAUUUAAUGUCACUUCCUAAGUUAAGCAGUUGGGCCCUGUCCCAUGACUGUUCAUCUCUGCUCAAUAGUCAUCAAGAGCUGAGAAAGAAGAAAGGAGCCCUGGGGGCCUAAGCUGUGUGUGUGUGUGUGUGUGUGUGUGUGUGUG
rnacentral:lncRNA from 1 species